GGCCUUGAGGUGUUUUACACAUUAGGUCGCAACCCUAAAGUCGUAGACUAUAAGUCUACCGGGGCUU
rnacentral:tRNA from 1 species